rnacentral:rRNA from 1 species
UACGGGGGGGGCUAGCGUUGUUCGGAAUUACUGGGCGUAAAGGGCUCGUAGGUGGCCAACUCAGUCGGACGUGAAAUCCCUCGGCUUAACCGAGGAACUGCGUCCGAUACUAGUUGGCUGAAAUCCGGGAGAGGGAUGCGGAAUUCCAGGUGUAGCGGUGAAAUGCGUAGAGAUUAGGAAGAACACCAGUGGCGAAGGCGACUUACUGGACCGUAACUGACGCUGAGGCAUGAAAGCGUGGGGAGCAAAC